GCCUGGCUGGCUUAGGCAGUAGAGCGUGUGACUUCUGAUCUCAGGGUCAUGAGUUCAAGCUCCAUGUUGGGCA
rnacentral:tRNA from 1 species